UAAAAACUUAGUCUUGGUUUUAUUAUUUUCUACCACUUAAUUCAUACAUGCAAGACUCAUCACCCCAGUGAGGCAGGCCUAUGACCCUUUGCUUAAAAGGCAUAGAGCUGGUAUCAGGCACAUAAAUUAUAGCCCACAACACCACGCUUAGCCACCCUUAAACACCGCAGUAGUUAAUAUUAGGCAAUGAGCGAAAGCUUGACCUAGUCAAAGUAAAAAAUGUGGGCCAAUGCUCGUGCCAGCCACCGCGGUUAUACGGGCCACCAAGAAAAUAAACUCGGCACAAAGGGUGGUUAAAGACUGACUAUCAAAUGAAGUCAAACACUAGCAUAAGUAGUGAAAAGCUGGUUUAGCAUGAAGCCCAUUAUACAAGCAACUCCAUUCACUUGACCCCACGAAAACUAAAGAACAAACUGGGAUUAGACACCCCACUAUGUCUGAUCGUAAACUUUGUACCGCCAGGAGACUACGAGCCACAGCUUAAAAUCCAAAAGACUUGGCGGCACUUUACAACCCCUAGAGGAGCCUGUUUCAAAACCGAUACUCCCCGCUUCACCUCACCCCUUCUAGCCUUUUCAGCCUAUAUACCCCCGUCUCCAGUUCACCUUAAAAAAGAACAAAAUUGAACACAACAUAGCAUAGCCCAACACGGCAGGUCGAGGUGUAGCCAAUGAAGGGGAUGAAAUGGGCUACAUUUUCUUAAAGAAAAAACGAAUUGAACAUUGAAACACGUUCAUGAAGGCGGAUUUAGUAGUAAACAGAGAACAGAGUGCUCUAUUGAACACAAACCUUAAAGUGCGCACAAACUGCCCGUCACCCCCCUCACAAUCACUCAUUACGUAAAUGAGUUCUCUAAGAGGGGGAAAGUCGUAACAAGGUAAGUGUACUGGAAAGUGCACUUGAAUA
rnacentral:ncRNA from 1 species